rnacentral:rRNA from 1 species
AUUGAACGCUGGCGGCAGGCCUAACACAUGCAAGUCGAGCGGAGAGGCGGACGGGUGAGUAAUGCCUAGGAAUCUGCCUGGUAGUGGGGGAUAACGUCCGGAAACGGGCGCUAAUACCGCAUCAUAUCAGAUGAGCAUAGGUCGGAUGGGCUCGUUGGUGGGGUAAAGGCCUACAAAGGCGACGAUACGUAACUGGUAUGAGAGGAUGAUCAGUCACACUGGAAGUGAGAAACGUUCCAGACUCCUACGGGAGGCAGCAGUGGGGAAUAUUGGACGAUGGGCGAAAGCCUGAUCCAUCCAUGCCGCGUGUGUGAAGAAGGUCUUCGGAUUGUAAAGCACUUUAAGUUGGGAGGCGGUACCAACAGAAUAAGCACCGGCUAACUUCGUGCCAGCAGCCGCGGUAAUAC